rnacentral:rRNA from 1 species
AACGAACGCUGGCGGCAUGCCUAACACAUGCAAGUCGAACGAGACCUUCGGGUCUAGUGGCGCACGGGUGCGUAACGCGUGGGAACCUGCCCUUAGGUUCGGAAUAACUCCCCGAAAGGGGUGCUAAUACCGGAUAAUGUCUUCGGACCAAAGAUUUAUCGCCUUUGGAUGGGCCCGCGUUGGAUUAGCUAGUUGGUAGGGUAAAAGCCUACCAAGGCGACGAUCCAUAGCUGGUCUGAGAGGAUGAUCAGCCACACUGGGACUGAGACACGGCCCAGACUCCUACGGGAGGCAGCAGUGGGGAAUAUUGGAAAAUGGGCGAAAGGCUGAUCCAGCAAUGACGCGUGAGUGAUGAAGGCCUUAGGGUUGUAAAGCUCUUUUACCCGGGAUGAUAAUGACAGUACCGGGAGAAUAAGCACCGGCUAACUCCGUG